rnacentral:rRNA from 1 species
AACGAACGCUGGCGGCAGGCCUAACACAUGCAAGUCGAACGCCGUAGCAAUACGGAGUGGCAGACGGGUGAGUAACGCGUGGGAACCUUCCCUAUGGUUCGGAAUAGCUCAGGGAAACCUGGGGUAAUACCGGAUAAGCCCUUCGGGGGAAAGAUUUAUCGCCAUUGGAUGGGCCCGCGUAGGAUUAGCUAGUUGGUGAGGUAAUGGCUCACCAAGGUGACGAUCCUUAGCUGGUCUGAGAGGAUGAUCAGCCACACUGGGACUGAGACACGGCCCAGACUCCUACGGGAGGCAGCAGUGGGGAAUAUUGGACAAUGGGCGCAAGCCUGAUCCAGCCAUGCCGCAUGAGUGACGAAGGCCUUAGGGUUGUAAAGCUCUUUUGGCGGGGAAGAUAAUGACGGUACCCGCAGAAUAAGCUCCGGCUAACUUCGUGCCAGCAGCCGCCGUAA